rnacentral:lncRNA from 1 species
UUUUUAGUUGUUUCAUUUUUAUUUCUUAGACUUCUUUAGUUUAUUUUUCUUUCGAACUAUGUUUUUAUUUUUAUGGUUGUUUCUAAUUGAGUUUGUAACCUCUUAAUCUUCUUCAUUUUUUGUGUUUAUUUUCUUAUUACCAUGCACUACAUUUAGAUUUGCCUACAAUUUCAGUUUUCACUAUUUUGGCAAUUUCAUCCAUAUUUAGGGCAAUUUUAGUUUUCUCCCUCUCUUGUGAUAUUAUGCUUAUUCUGUGUUUAUAUUUGUUUGUACAUUGAGGAAAAUGUACAUCUUAAGUGUG